rnacentral:lncRNA from 1 species
GAACCCACUGACCCCAUAAGGCAGGGACCCCAGAACCCUCUGACCCCAUUGGCCCCAUUGGCCCCAUAACCCAGGGACCCCAUUGGCCCCAUAAGCCAGAGACCCCAUUGGCCCCAUUGGCCCCAGAACCCACUGACCCCAUUGGCCCCAUUGGCCCCACAGCCCAUUGGCCCCAUUG